rnacentral:lncRNA from 1 species
ACUGACUGGGAUUUUCUCUCAGAGCGACUGGGUGGCCCGCCUACUUCACCGAGGAGAGGCCUGUUACGCUCUGGCUGUCCUAACAACUCACCUAUAUCCCCACCCUUGUCUCACAGGCCGAGGUACAGGGGGGCGGUUAUUUCCUUCCUCAGCAGCGCGGCACACAGACUUCCGGUUAGCCCAGCGCCCACGACCAGUACCCGGGACAUGGCGGCUGCCCUUCGGCUAGGCCGCUGACAGAGACGCGGAGCCUCGCCGUCCCACUCUACCACUGUGUCCCCGCGUGGGUCAGGCAGGGCGGUGCCCUGCGCGAGACGUCUGCUCCUGAGAGCGCGGAGAACCCACAGGGGUGACUGAGGCCCCGGCGACUUUCUGCCCAGGCCUCCACCGGGCAGCUUGGUUACCCGGUGAGCCCCAAUCCCAUCGUCCCCUGGAGGAUAAAUCAGGAAGUCACCGCCAGUUGGCCUCUUGAGGAUGACUGAAGUGAGGGAGAGGAGUCAGCAGCAAAGCCACAGCCAGAUUUCUUCUGUGGUUUUAUAGGCCUCUUCAGGUGACAGAGGGUUUUGAAAUCAGAGACUUUUUUUUUUUUAAUCAUUGUUACACCACCUCAGAGACUAUAAAUUAUGUGUCCUUCCUGACAUUGGCUCCUCAGUGACUGCAAAAUGUGGAAAAUAAUACCUCCUUUCCAAAGUUGUGAAGAAUACAGGUACUUGGUUCACCAGAAAAUUUUGUCUCACUUACCAUGUCCACAAAUACAAACUUCUGUGUCAAAAUGGGAUCACUGUGAAUGAAGGAAUAUUCUGUAAAGUAGAAUCUGUCACUACCAUGGCCCUGGCAUCAACUUUGCCCUAAGAAGUUCUCAAUU